GGAUGCGAUCAUACCAGCACUAAAGCACCGGAUCCCAUCAGAACUUCGAAGUUAAGCGUGCCUGGGCGAGAGUAGUACUAGGAUGGGUGACCUCCUGGGAAGUCCUCGUGUUCCAUUCC
rnacentral:rRNA from 16 species